GAUGAAGAACGUAGCGAAAUGCGAUAAGUAAUGCGAAUUGCAGAAUUCAGUGGAUCAUCGAAUCUUUGAACGCACAUUGCGCCCGCCAGUAUUCUGGCGGGCAUGCCUGUUCGAGCGUCAUUUCAACCAUCAAGCCCCCGGCUUGUGUUGGGGACCUGCGGCUGCCGCAGGCCCUGAAAACCAGUGGCGGGCUCGCUAGUCACUCCGAGCGUAGUAAUACAUCUCGCUCAGGGCGUGCUGCGGGUUCCGGCCGUUAAAAAGCCUUAUUUACCCAAGGUUGACCUCGGAUCAGGUAGGAAGACCCGCUGAACUUAAGCAUAUCAAUAAGCGGAGGA
rnacentral:misc_RNA from 1 species